rnacentral:rRNA from 1 species
UACGAAGGGGGCUAGCGUUGCUCGGAAUCACUGGGCGUAAAGGGUGCGUAGGCGGGUCUUUAAGUCAGGGGUGAAAUCCUGGAGCUCAACUCCAGAACUGCCUUUGAUACUGAGGAUCUUGAGUUCGGGAGAGGUGAGUGGAACUGCGAGUGUAGAGGUGAAAUUCGUAGAUAUUCGCAAGAACACCAGUGGCGAAGGCGGCUCACUGGCUCGGUACUGACGCUGAGGUGCGAAAGCGUGGGGGGCAAACAGG